GAUGAACGCUGGCGGCGUGCCUAAUACAUGCAAGUCGAGCGAACAGACGAGGAACUUGCUCCUCUGACGUUAGCGGCGGACGGGUGAGUAACACGUGGAUAACCUACCUAUAAGACUGGGAUAACUUCGGGAAACCGGAGCUAAUACCGGAUAAUAUAUUGAACCGCAUGGUUCAAUAGUGAAAGACGGUUUUGCUGUCACUUAUAGAUGGAUCCGCGCCGCAUUAGCUAGUUGGUAAGGUAACGGCUUACCAAGGCAACGAUGCGUAGCCGACCUGAGAGGGUGAUCGGCCACACAGGAACUGAGACACGGUCCAGACUCCUACGGGAGGCAGCAGUAGGAAAUCUUCCGCAAUGGGCGAAAGCCUGACGGAGCAACGCCGCGUGAGUGAUGAAGGUCUUCGGAUCGUAAAACUCUGUUAUUAGGGAAGAACAAAUGUGUAAGUAACUAUGCACGUCUUGACGGUACCUAAUCAGAAAGCCACGGCUAACUACGU
rnacentral:rRNA from 1 species